GACGAACGCUGGCGGCGUGCUUAACACAUGCAAGUCGAACGGAAAGGCCCCUUUGGGGGUACUCGAGUGGCGAACGGGGGAGUAACACGUGAGUAACCUGCCCUUGACUUCGGGAUAACUUCAGGAAACUGGGGCUAAUACCGGAUAGGAAUCCUUGCUGCAUGGUGGGGGUUGGAAAGCUUCGGCGGUUUUGGCUGGACUCGCGGCUUAUCAGCUUGUUGGUGGGGUAGUGGCUUACCAAGGCGUUGACGGGUAGCCGGCCUGAGAGGGCGACCGGCCACACUGGGACUGAGAGACGGCCCAGACUCCUACGGGAGGCAGCAGUGGGGAAGAUUGCACGAUGGGCGGAAGCCUGAUGCAGCAACGCCGCGUGCGGGAUGACGGCCUUCGGGUUGUAAACCGCUUUCAGCAGGGGCGAAGCUUGUGGUGACGGUACCUGCAGAAGAAGCACCGGCUAACUACGUG
rnacentral:rRNA from 1 species